UACGAGGGGUGCGAGCGUUGCUCGGAAUCAUUGGGCGUAAAGCGAGUGUAGGUGGUCAUAUAAGUCAGUGGUGAAAUCCCAGGGCUCAACCCUGGAAGUGCCUUUGAUACUGUAUGACUUGAAUGUGGGAGAGGGUGCUAGAAUUCCUGGUGUAGUGGUGAAAUACGUAGAGAUCAGGAGGAACAUCGGUUGCGAAGGCGGGUGCCUGGCCCAACAUUGACACUCAGACUCGAAAGCGUGGGGAUCAAACAGG
rnacentral:rRNA from 1 species